CGUAUAUUAAAGUUGUUGCAGUUAAAAAGCUCGUAGUUGGAUUUGUGGAUGGUCUUGAGGUCCACGUUUUGCGUUGGUACUAUUGAGAUUGUCCAUCCUUGGGUGGAAUCUGUGUGGCAUUAGGUUGUCGUGCAGAGGAUGCCCAUCGUUUACUGUGAAAAAAUUAGAGUGUUCAAAGCAGGCUUAUGCCGNUGAAUAUAUUAGCAUGGAAUAAUGAGAUAGGACUUGGGUGCUAUUUUGUUGGUUUGCGCACCUUGGUAAUGAUUAAUAGGGACAGUUGGGGG
rnacentral:rRNA from 1 species